GCCAGGCAUAGUGGCACAUGCCUGUAGUCCCAGCUACUUAGGAGGCUGAGACAGGAGGCUGGCUUGAGCUCAGGAGUUUGAGGCUGUAGUGCACUGUGAUUACACCUAUGAAUGGCCACUGCACUGCCACCUGAACAAUAUAGUGAAAGCCAGUCUCUU
ensembl:misc_RNA Metazoa_SRP Metazoan signal recognition particle RNA